GACAGAGGGUGCGAACGUUGUUCGGAAUUACUGGGCGUGAAGCGCAUGUAGGCGGCAGCGCAAGUCGGGCGUGAAAUCCCACGGCUCAACCGUGGAAGUGCACUCGAAACUGCGCAGCUAGAGUCCUGGAGAGGAAGGUGGAAUGCUUGGUGUAGAGGUGAAAUGCGUAGAUAUCGGGAGGAACACCUGUGGCGAAAGCGGCUCACUGGACCACAACUGACGCUGAGGCGCGAAAGCUAGGGGAGCAAACAGG
rnacentral:rRNA from 1 species